UACAGAGGGUGCGAGCGUUAAUCGGAAUUACUGGCGUAAAGCGCGCGUAGGCGGCUUUGCAAGUCGGGUGUGAAAUCCCCAGGCUUAACCUGGGAACUGCAUUCGAGACUGCAUUGCUAGAGUAUGGGAGAGGGAAGUGGAAUUUCCGGUGUAGCGGUGAAAUGCGUAGAUAUCGGAAGGAACAUCAGUGGCGAAGCGGCUCACUGGACCGGUACUGACGCGAGCGCGAAGCG
rnacentral:rRNA from 1 species